rnacentral:lncRNA from 1 species
AUCUGAUGCUGCUUUCUUUAGGGGUGUGGUCCAGCCAGUGAGGCCAGGCCCCUGGUACCUCGGCAGACCCUCCUUUCUAGGGCCAGGAAUGCUGUGACCCCCUCUUCCCAGCAUCUGCUGCCCACCUUGUGUCGACGGUGACUUGGGAGCCUAUCACGACUUUUCAGUAUCUAGCCAGGUUUAAAAUAACAAGGCAAAUGUAUGCAGCAUUGACAUCUCUUUCUUUAAAUGGUCUACAGUUUGACAGGCCAUUUCCUAGGAAGCUGUGUUUCCUUUGCACUUUGGGGGACCUUGUCUCUUCUAGGAGAUAGUGGGGUGUGCAGUCCCUGGGGAUCCCUGGCAUCUCUCCUGAGAAAGCCCCCACUGCUGGCCAAGCAGAAAGCCUCCAAGAUUCUUUCCAGUGUGUUUCUGCAUUUACAUGAUCUAAAGAUGCAUGGGGACGCCCCCUGGUGGUGAUGAGCCGCAGUGGCACCCGGGGAUGCAGUGGUCCAGCCAGAGGUGAGGCUAGAGGUGGGAAGGCCAAGGUGGGGGCUGUGAUUUCCGAGGUCCUGGGCCCCCAGCCCUACAUAUCUGGCAGCAUGCCUCCCACCCACACCUCUGCUAGGUCAGCUGGGACUGGCAAGGUAGUUGGCAUAAGGGCACAGUGGGAAGCUUUGCCCUCCCAACUUUAAUUUUUUAAAAAAAUAUCUGCAGAAUAAAUCCAAUGGUUAAUUUUUGAAUGAAUAAAAGGCUUUUGUUGAAUAAACAGUUGGUCCCAUCUUCUGUGUUGGCAUUAGGUUCAGGUUUUGUCUGCUUCCUAGGGUGGGGGCCCCACCCAACACCCUUUACCUCUGCAUUCCCGGACCAAGUCUCCAGAUUCCUUCAGGACGUUGGAGGAGUCACGUUACUCAUUGGAUCUGUUUCUCCAUGCCUCAGAAAGAGGUCAGCCACCUUGCAGGGGUGACAGGCCAGCGUUGUGUGGGUUGGUGCUCCUAGGGGUUCCUACAGCUCCCGACGGAUUUUUAGGUGACUUAAAAACCAAAUCUAGAGAAGGUGAUGUUUUCACUCUGGUUGUUUGCAUCCUUCCCUGCUUGUGUUCCCAGCACCCUCGGUGUCUCUUUUUGGGGUGCCGUCCUGUCUAUGUCUUGGGGGACAUAGGGAGGCCCUCGCCUGGUGGUGCAGGCCAAGGGUGAUAGGCUUUGUCGCAUGUCCGGGUCUCCUCCCUGCUCCCGAUGUAUGUCGUCUGUGUCUGGCCGAUUAAACAUGCUUCCUGGACCUCC